UAGGGAAUCUUCGGCUAUGGACGGAAGUCUGACCGAGCAACGCCGCGUGAGUGAAGAAGGUUUUCGGAUCGUAAAGCUCUGUUGUAAGAGAAGAACGAGUGUGAGAGUGGAAAGUUCACACUGUGACGGUAUCUUACCAGAAAGGGACGGCUAACUACGUGCCAGCAGCCGCGGUAAUACGUAGGUCCCGAGCGUUGUCCGGAUUUAUUGGGCGUAAAGCGAGCGCAGGCGGUUAGAUAAGUCUGAAGUUAAAGGCUGUGGCUUAACCAUAGUACGCUUUGGAAACUGUUUAACUUGAGUGCAAGAGGGGAGAGUGGAAUUCCAUGUGUAGCGGUGAAAUGCGUAGAUAUAUGGAGGAACACCGGUGGCGAAAGCGGCUCUCUGGCUUGUAACUGACGCUGAGGCUCGAAAGCGUGGGGAGCAAACAGGAUUAGAUACCCUGGUAGUCCACGCCGUAAACGAUGAGUGCUAGGUGUUAGACCCUUUCCGGGGUUUAGUGCCGUAGCUAACGCAUUAAGCACUCCGCCUGGGGAGUACGACCGCAAGGUUGA
rnacentral:rRNA from 1 species